rnacentral:lncRNA from 1 species
CUUAUAGCAUCAAACUCCCAGAGGCUGCUGCUACCCAGAGCACCAGAAAAACAACACGGUGCUAUGCUCUUAACAACAGGUUUUGCCUGAAGAUGGAACCAACUUGCACUACCAUCUAAUGACUGCCUCAAGCAGAACAAAGAUGGCCAAGCUGAGUAAAGAAACCGGGAUCCCAAAAGCCCAGGAAGCAGGGUCAGUCAGGACCAUCUGCAGUUGGCUACGUCGGCCUUUUCCAUGGACUCCACACUCAUCCAUCACCAGGAAUCCAAGUUGAUGCUCCUCCUACAUCUGGCCAGGAUGCUACCAAAAGCUACAUCAAAGCAAAAAGUCACUGAGCUAACACAGAGAAAGGUCUAUUCAAAGUUCUGGUUUUAGGUUUCAGAAACAAUUUUCCUGAUUAUUUAAAAUAAUGAAUGGGUUCCAAGGACUACGGAAAGAGAGCUUUUCUAGGUUAGUCCCAGAAUCUACCAUACUGUUUCUAAGGAAAAGUAUGCUCCUGGCUCCAAUUAGCAAUUUAAAUCAUUUUACGUGAAUGAAUGCAUAUAACUUCUUUACAGUUUAGUGUCCUCAUGAGCAAAAUAAGGGAACAAUAAUCCCUAUUCAAUAUUCAUGGCUAUGUUCAUUAAGAAAAAAAUUUUUGAAACCCAGCUUCUUGGUGUCUGCCCUGUAAAACAUAGCACUUUGUAUCACCGACAACCCUUAGCUUUAUAGAAUUUUACUACCUACAAUGCAGGGGACUGGGAAUGUGUGUGGUCAGGUUGGCAUUUGUCAUCUCUUACAUACAGUCUCUUGUAUAUGUGAGAAAAAGGAAUUUUCAUAAAAAUAUUAAUAAUGCAGUUUCACCUUUCAGAAAGACAAGUACACUGGAUAAACAGUCUAGAAGAUAGUUAAAUAAUAACCAGAUUAUAGGAAUCAGUGAAAACCUUUAACUGCAAUCUAUUCUUCAAUAAAACACCAG